AAUGAACGCUGGCGGCGUGCUUAACACAUGCAAGUCGAACGAGAAAGGGGUUGCUUGCAAUCCUGAGUAGAGUAGCGCACGGGUGAGUAACACGUAGAUAAUCUACCUUCAAGCCUGGGAUAACUAUUCGAAAGGAUGGCUAAUACCGGAUGAAGUCUGUUGACACAAGUUGACAGAUGAAAGAUUGCCUCUUCCUGAAAGCAAUUGUUUGGAGAUGAGUUUGCGGACCAUUAGUUUGUUGGUGGGGUAAAGGCCUACCAAGACUGCGAUGGUUAGCUGGUCUGAGAGGAUGAUCAGUCACACUGGAACUGGAACACGGUCCAGACUCCUACGGGAGGCAGCAGUGAGGAAUUUUGCGCAAUGGGGGCAACCCUGACGCAGCAACGCCGCGUGAGUGAAGAAGGCCUUUGGGUCGUAAAGCUCUGUCAACUGGGAAGAAGUUACAAUUAUUUAAUAGAUGGUUGUAUUGACGGUACCAGUGGAGGAAGCGCCGGCUAACUCCGUGCCAGCAGCCGCGGUAACACGGGGGGCGCAAGCGUUAUUCGGAAUUAUUGGGCGUAAAGGGCGCGUAGGCGGUUUGUCUGUUAAUACCGCAAACCCUGGGCUCAAUCCUGGACGUGCAUUGAAACAGCAAGAC
rnacentral:rRNA from 1 species